rfam:Triticum urartu cultivar G1812 contig311213, whole genome shotgun sequence.
UGUGGCCAAGUGGUAAGGCAGCGGGUUUUGGUCCCUUUACUCGGAGGUUCGAAUCCUUCCA